GAUGAGCGCUAGCUACAGGCUUAACACAUGCAAGUCGAGGGGUAACGAGAGGAAAGCUUGCUUUCCUUGUCGACGACCGGCGCACGGGUGAGUAACGCGUAUCCAACCUGCCCCCAACUAGGGAAUAACCUUGCGAAAGUAAGACUAAUACCCUAUAAUUUCCUCAGAUGCCAUCUGACGAGGAAUAAAGAUUUAUCGGUUGUGGAUGGGGAUGCGUCUGAUUAGCUUGUUGGCGGGGUAACGGCCCACCAAGGCAACGAUCAGUAGGGGUUCUGAGAGGAAGGUCCUCCACAUUGGAACUGAGACACGGUCCAAACUCCUACGGGAGGCAGCAGUGAGGAAUAUUGGUCAAUGGCGGAAGCCUGAACCAGCCAAGUAGCGUGCAGGAUGACGGCCCUAUGGGUUGUAAACUGCUUUUAUACAGGAAUAAAGUUAGCCACGUGUGGUUAUUUGUAGGUACUGUAUGAAUAAGGACCGGCUAAUUCCGUGCCAGCCGCCGCCGUAA
rnacentral:rRNA from 1 species